GAUGAACGCUGGCGGCGUGCUUAACACAUGCAAGUCGAACGGAAAGGCCCAAGCUUGCUUGGGUACUCGAGUGGCGAACGGGUGAGUAACACGUGGGUGAUCUGCCCUGCACUUCGGGAUAAGCCUGGGAAACUGGGUCUAAUACCGGAUAGGACCACUUCUUGGAUGUUGUGGUGGAAAGUUUUUUCGGUGUGGGAUGAGCUCGCGGCCUAUCAGCUUGUUGGUGGGGUAAUGGCCUACCAAGGCGUCGACGGGUAGCCGGCCGGAGAGGGUGUACGGCGACAUUGGGACUGGGACACGCCCCAGCCGUCGACGGGGAGCAGCGGUGGUGAUUAUUACAAAAUGAGCGCAAGCCUGAUGGAGCGACGCUGCGUGGGGGAUGACGGGCUUCGUGUUGUAUACUCCUUUGGCGAGGGACGAAGCGGUUUGUGACGGUACCUUGAGAAGAGGCGCGGGCUAACUACGUG
rnacentral:rRNA from 1 species